GCCUGGCCCUAAAUCUUGAUGCUUCACCCCCUACUUAAGCAUCCGCCCGAGAACUACGAGCACUAACGCUUAAAACUCUAAGGACUUGGCGGUGCCCCAAACCCACCUAGAGGAGCCUGUUCUGUAAUCGAUGAUCCACGAUAUACCCUACCAUUUCUUGCCAAUUCAGCCUAUAUACCGCCGUCGCCAGUCCACCCCCCCUGAAGGUUCAACAGUGGGCGCAAUAGCCUAACCACGCUAAUAAGACAGGUCAAGGUAUAGCCUAUGGAAUGGAAGCAAUGGGCUACAUUUUCUAGAUUAGAACAUACGGCAAAGGGGAAUGAAACAUCCCCUGGAAGGCGGAUUUAGCAGUAAAGUGGGACAAUCGAGCCCUCUUUAAGCCGGCCCUGGGGC
rnacentral:rRNA from 1 species